CUUGACUUAACCAUAAGAGGUCCAGCCUGCCCAGUGACAUUGUUCAACGGCCGCGGUAUUCUAACCGUGCGAAGGUAGCGUAAUCACUUGUCCUUUAAAUGAGGACUAGUAUGAACGGCCACACGAAAGCUAUGCUGUCUCCUUUUUCUAAUCAGUUAAACUAAUCUCCCCGUGAAGAAGCGGGAAUGAUUAUAUAAGACGAGAAGACCCUAUGGAGCUUUAAACAAUUGAAACACUUGUACCCAUCUUCCACACUUCCGACAGCCUACGCUUAAUUUUACACUUUGUUUCUAGCUUUAGGUUGGGGUGACCACGGAGAAAAAACAAACCUCCACGCUGAAAGAGUUAAUCUCUAAACAAAAAGCUACAUCUUUAAGUAUUAAUACAUUAACCUGAAUUGACCCA
rnacentral:rRNA from 1 species